CAAUAGCGUAUAUUAAAGUUGUUGCGGUUAAAAAGCUCGUAGUUGGAUUUCUGUUGGGAACGACCGGUCCGCCCAUUGGGUGUGUAUCUGGCUUGUUCUCGGCAUCUUCUUGGUGAACGUUGCUGCACUUGACUGUGUGGAGCGCUACCCAGGACUUUUACUUUGAGGAAAUUAGAGUGUUUCAAGCAGGCAUAUGCCUUGAAUACAUUAGCAUGGAAUAAUAAGAUAGGACCUCGGUUCUAUUUUGUUGGUUUCUAGAGCUGAGGUAAUGAUUAAUAGGGAUAGUUGGGGGCAUUCGUAUUUAACUGUCAGAGGUGAAAUUCUUGGAUUUGUUAAAGACGGACUACUGCGAACGCAUUUGCCAAGGAUGUUUUCAUUGA
rnacentral:rRNA from 1 species